rnacentral:rRNA from 1 species
UACGGAGGGUGCGAGCGUUGUCCGGAAUCAUUGGGCGUAAAGGGCGCGUAGGUGGCCACUUCAAGCGUGCGGUGAAAGUCCGGGGCUCAACUCCGGAUCGUGCGGUGGGUACGGGCAGACUAGAGUGGCAGUAGGGGAGACUGGAAUUCCUGGUGUAGCGGUGAAAUGCGCAGAUAUCAGGAGGAACACCGAGUGGCGAAGGCAGGUCUCUGGGCUGAUAACUGACGCUGGAGGAGCGGAAAGCUGGGGAGCGAAACAGGAUUAGACUACC